AGGGAAUAGAUACCGGGUAGUCCACGCCGUAAACUAUGGAUGCUAGCUGUUAUGAGUAUCGACCCUCGUAGUAGCGUAGCUAACGCGUUAAGCAUCCCGCCUGUGGAGUACGGUCGCAAGACUAAAACAUAAAGGAAUUGACGGGGACCCGCACAAGCGGUGGAGCGUGUUGUUUAAUUCGAUGGUAAGCGAAGAACCUUACCCAGGCUUGACAUCCUGCCAAGGUCUCCGAAAGGAGAUUGUGCCUUCGGGCCGCAGUGACAGGUGAUGCAUGGCCGUCGUCAGCUCGUGUCGUGAGAUGUUUGGUUAAGUCCAUCAACGAGCGCAACCCUUAUAGUUAGUUGUAUUUCUCUAGCUAGACUGCCCUGGUAACAGGGAGGAAGGGGGUGGUA
rnacentral:rRNA from 1 species